rnacentral:rRNA from 1 species
GAUGAACGCUGGCGGCGUGCCUAAUACAUGCAAGUCGAGCGAACGGACGAGAAGCUUGCUUCUCUGAUGUUAGCGGCGGACGGGUGAGUAACACGUGGAUAACCUACCUAUAAGACUGGGAUGAAUUCGGGAAACCGGAGCUAAUACCGGAUAAUAUUUUGAACCGCAUGGUUCAAAAGUGAAAGACGGUCCUGCUGUCACUUAUAGAUGGAUCCGCGCUGCAUUAGCUAGUUGGUAAGGUAACGGCUUACCAAGGCAACGAUGCAUAGCCGACCUGAGAGGGUGAUCGGCCACACUGGAACUGAGACACGGUCCAGACUCCUACGGGAGGCAGCAGUAGGGAAUCUUCCGCAAUGGGCGAAAGCCUGACGGAGCAACGCCGCGUGAGUGAUGAAGGUCUUCGGAUCGUAAAACUCUGUUAUUAGGGAAGAACAUAUGUGUAAGUAACUGUGCACAUCUUGACGGUACCUAAUCAGAAAGCCACGGCUAACUACGUG